rnacentral:rRNA from 1 species
CCUACGGGAGGCAGCAGUAGGGAAUUUUUCACAAUGGGCGAAAGCCUGAUGGAGCAACGCCGCGUGCAGGAUGAAGGCCUUCGGGUUGUAAACUGCUUUUAUAAGCGAGAAAUAUGAUGGUAACUUAUGAAUAAGGAACGGCUAACUACGUGCCAGCAGCCGCGGUCAUACGUAGGAUCCGAGCAUUAUCCGGAGUGACUGGGUGUAAAGAGUUGCGUAGGUGGCAUAAUAAGUAGCUAGUGAAAUCUGGUGGCUCAACCAUUCAGACUAUUAGCUAAACUGUUAAGCUCGAGACCGUUAGGGGUAACUGGAAUUUCUAGUGUAGGAGUGAAAUCCGUAGAUAUUAGAAGGAACACCGAUAGCGUAGGCAGGUUGCUGGGACGGUUCUGACACUAAGGCACGAAAGCGUAGGGAGCAAACGGGAUUAGAUACCCCUGUAGUC